CUACGGGUUGCUGCAGUGGGGAAUAUUGCACAAUGGGGGAAACCCUGAUGCAGCCAUGCCGCGUGUGUGAAGAAGGCCUUCGGGUUGUAAAGCACUUUCAGCGGGGAGGAAGGGAAUAUGGCUAAUAUCCAUGUUCAUUGACGUUACCCGCAGAAGAAGCACCGGCUAACUCCGCGCCAGCAGCCGCGGUAAUACGGAGGGUGCAAGCGUUAAUCGGAAUAACUGGGCGUAAAGCGCACGCAGGCGGUUUGAUUAGUCAGAUGUGAAAUCCCCGGGCUCAACCUGGGAACUGCAUUUGAAACUGUCAAACUAGAGUCUUGUAGAGGGGGGUAGAAUUCCAGGUGUAGCGGUGAAAUGCGUAGAGAUCUGGAGGAAUACCAGUGGCGAAGGCGGCCCCCUGGACAAAGACUGACGCUCAGGUGCGAAAGCGUGGGGAGCAAACAGGAUUAGAUACCCCUGUAGUC
rnacentral:rRNA from 1 species